GUCGGGUUGUUUGGGAAUGCAGCCC
rnacentral:ncRNA from 2 species